rnacentral:rRNA from 1 species
UACGAAGGGGGCUAGCGUUGCUCGGAAUCACUGGGCGUAAAGCGCACGUAGGCGGGUUGUUAAGUCGGGGGUGAAAUCCUGGAGCUCAACUCCAGAACUGCCUUCGAUACUGGCGAUCUUGAGUCCGGGAGAGGUGAGUGGAACUCCGAGUGUAGAGGUGAAAUUCGUAGAUAUUCGCAAGAACACCAGUGGCGAAGGCGGCUCACUGGCCCGUAACUGACGCUGAGGCACGAAAGCGUGGGGAGCAAACAGG